AUUGAACGCUGGCGGCAGGCCUAACACAUGCAAGUCGAGCGGAGCGGCGGACGGGUGAGUAAGGCCUAUGAAUCUGCAUGGUAGUGGGGGAUAACGUCCGGAAACGGGCGCUAAUACCGCAUACUAUCAGCAGAGCCUAGGUGGGAUUGGAUAGUGGGUGGGGUAAAGGCCUACCAAGGCGACGAUCCGUAACUCGUCGUGGAGGAUGAUCAGCCACACUGGAACUGAGACACGGUCCAGACUCCUACGGGAGGCAGCAGUGGGGAAUAUUGGACAAUGGGCGAAAGCCUGAUGCAGCCAUGUCGCGUGUGUGAAGAAGGUCUUCGGAUUGUAAAGCACUUUAAGUUGGGAGGCGUUACCAACAGAAUAAGCACCGGCUAACUCCGUGCCAGCAGCCGCGGUAAUAC
rnacentral:rRNA from 1 species